CCCUUCGGGGUGUGACUGCGUACCUUUUGUAUAAUGGGUCAGCGACUUAUAUUCUGUAGCAAGGUUAACCGUAUAGGGGAGCCGGAGGGAAACCGAGUCUUAACCGGGCGUUAAGUUGCAGGGUAUAGACCCGAAACCCGGUGAUCUAGCCAUGGGCAGGUUGAAGGUUGGGUAACACUAACUGGAGGACCGAACCGACUAAUGUUGAAAAAUUAGCGGAUGACCUGUGGCUGGGGGUGAAAGGCCAAUCAAACCGGGAGAUAGCUGGUUCUCCCCGAAAGCUAUUUAGGUAGCGCCUCGUGAAUUCAUCUCCGGGGGUAGAGCACUGUUUCGGCUAGGGGGCCAUCCCGGCUUACCAACCCGAUGCAAACUGCGAAUACCGGAGAAUGUUAUCACGGGAGACACACGGCGGGUGCUAACGUCCGUCGUGAAGAGGGAAACAACCCAGACCGCCAGCUAAGGUCCCAAAGUCAUGGUUAAGUGGGAAACGAUGUGGGAAGGCCCAGACAGCCAGGAUGUUGGCUUAGAAGCAGCCAUCAUUUAAAGAAAGCGUAAUAGCUCACUGGUCGAGUCGGCCUGCGCGGAAGAUGUAACGGGGCUAAACCAU
rnacentral:rRNA from 3 species